GGUACUUUGGCCGAGCGGUUAAGGCGCUGUGUUCAGGUCGAUUGAAUCCUCUGGAUUCAUCUCCAUUCGCAGUCUAGAAAUAGGCGCAGGUUCGAGUCCUGCAGGUAUCA